rnacentral:rRNA from 1 species
GACGAACGCUGGCGGCGUGCUUAACACAUGCAAGUCGAACGAAGAGCGAUGGAAGCUUGCUUCUAUCAAUCUUAGCGGCGAACGGGUGAGUAACGCGUAAUCAACCUGCCCUUCAGAGGGGGACAACAGUUGGAAACGACUGCUAAUACCGCAUACGAUCUAAUCUCGGCAUCGAGGAUAGAUGAAAGGUGGCCUCUACAUGUAAGCUAUCACUGAAGGAGGGGAUUGCGUCUGAUUAGCAAGUUGGAGGGGUAACGGCCCACCAAGGCGAUGAUCAGUAGCCGGUCUGAGAGGAUGAACGGCCACAUUGGGACUGAGACACGGCCCAGACUCCUACGGGAGGCAGCAGUGGGGAAUCUUCCGCAAUGGACGAAAGUCUGACGGAGCAACGCCGCGUGAGUGAUGACGGCCUUCGGGUUGUAAAGCUCUGUUAAUCGGGACGAAAGGCCUUCUUGCGAAUAGUGAGAAGGAUUGACGGUACCGGAAUAGAAAGCCACGGCUAACUACGUG